rnacentral:rRNA from 1 species
GACGAACGCUGGCGGCGUGCUUAACACAUGCAAGUCGAACGGAAAGGCCCUGCUUGCAGGGUACUCGAGUGGCGAACGGGUGAGUAACACGUGGGUGAUCUGCCCUGCACUUCGGGAUAAGCCUGGGAAACUGGGUCUAAUACCGGAUAGGAGCCAUUUUUAGUGUGAUGGUUGGAAAGUUUUUUCGGUGUAGGAUGAGCUCGCGGCCUAUCAGCUUGUUGGUGGGGUAUGGCCUACCAAGGCGGCGACGGGUAGCCGGCCUGAGAGGGUGGACGGCCACAUUGGGACUGAGAUACGGCCCAGACUCCUACGGGAGGCAGCAGUGGGGAAUAUUGCACAAUGGGCGCAAGCCUGAUGCAGCAACGCCGCGUGGGGGAUGACGGCCUUCGGGUUGUAAACUCCUUUCGCUAGGGACGAAGCUUUUUGUGACGGUACCUAGAUAAGAAGCACCGGCUAACUACGUG